rnacentral:ncRNA from 2 species
UACGUAGGGUGCGAGCGUUAAUCGGAAUUACUGGGCGUAAAGCGUGCGCAGGCGGUUAUACAAGACAGGCGUGAAAUCCCCGGGCUUAACCUGGGAAUGGCGUCUGUGACUGUAUAGCUAGAGUGUGUCAGAGGGGGGUGGAAUUCCACGUGUAGCAGUGAAAUGCGUAGAUAUGUGGAGGAACACCAAUGGCGAAGGCAGCCCCCUGGGAUAACACUGACGCUCAUGCACGAAAGCGUGGGGAGCAAACAGG